rnacentral:rRNA from 1 species
UACGAGGUCGAGCGUAACUACGGAUACUGGCGGGUAAAGACGGUGCGCAGGCGGUUUGUUAAGCGAGAUGUGAAAGCCCCCGGGCUCAACCUGGGAAUUGCAUUUCGAACUGGCAAACUAGAGUCUUGUAGAGGGGGGUAGAAUUCCAGGUGUGGCGGUGAAAUGCGUAGAGAUCUGGAGGAAUACCGGUGGCGAAGGCGGCCCCCUGGACAAAGACUGACGCUCAGGCACGAAAGCGUGGGGAGCAAACAGGAUUAGAUACCCCUGUAGU